rnacentral:rRNA from 1 species
UACGUAGGGUCCGAGCGUUGUCCGGAAUUAUUGGGCGUAAAGGGCUCGUAGGCGGUUCGUCACGUCGGGAGUGAAAACUCGGAGCUUAACUCCGAGCCUGCUUCCGAUACGGGCAGACUAGAGGUAGGCAGGGGAGAGCGGAACUCCUGGUGUAGCGGUGGAAUGCGCAGAUAUCAGGAAGAACACCGGUGGCGAAGGCGGCAUCCUGGACCAAUAUUGACGCUGAGGAGCGAAAGCCAGGGGAGCAAACGGG